CUCGUCAGUUACGAAGCUGGACUGAAACUGCACUGUCAUUCAAUGCUGGAAGCUUCUGCGCGCGCGUGCGCGCACAAGUCACUCUGGUGCGCGCGCCCAGGUCUGCACGCCAUGCGCGGUGCGUCCUCUUGGCUCACUGCCAUGCGCGCAUGCGCCACGUCACCAUGCGCGGUGCGUCCUCUUGGCUCAAGUCCAUGCGCGCGUGCGCCACGUCACCUGCGAGCCUAUACGAGCGCGCCACACAGUCGCGCCGUAUUGGCUCACUCUGGUGCGCCGCGCACGACACGACAGGACCCAUGCACCAUGCGCGCAACCGCGCGCCUCCGAGCCAUGUGUACUCGCGCGCGCAUGCGCAUGACUGCCACGUCAUGCGCCGCAUCACCUACCACUUGGUCCUUGCAACCCUUGUGCUCCACCACGUACACGCAGUCAAAAAUACAAAGGCGGCUCUCGAGCGACUCGCGGCGAUGCGAGCGUGCGCCAUCAAAGCGCCUCAUCGCCCACGCCACGCGCGCGAGCGUGUGCGAGUGCGAGUGCGAGUGCAAGUUAGGGUGCUCCGCACCCUUCGCGAGGACACUAG
rnacentral:lncRNA from 1 species